GUAAUUCUGAAUAUAUUUUUUAAACUGCCACAUACCCAUUAGGAAAAAAUACUUUGACGUAUUGUAUGCCUGAAAUGAGGAAGUUGUGUUCACAAGCCAUCUUGCUUCUGUCUCAUGAAUGCUGUUCUGCUUGCUUGUGAGAUUUGAUGCUGUCUAGCAGACUUAUUUAUGCCUUUGAUUAUAGUGCUGUCUCUCAGCUUGUCAUAUAAAUUUAAUUGUGAUGGUACCGUGGUUGUCGUCGUUUGAAAUUAUGGACUUGUUCACAUAGGCGAAAGUGAUCCUUCACAAGGCCUGAUGAUGUGCACAGAUGUUUUGGCAGCUGCUGAGACCACACCUGCUUCCAUUUGUGUGCAGAGGGACCUGACCCUUUACAUGUCAGCUGCAGGUGUUGGAGCCCAUUCAUUUGAAG
rnacentral:lncRNA from 1 species